rnacentral:misc_RNA from 1 species
GAUGGAACGCAGCGAAAUGCGAUAAGUAGUGUGAAUUGCAGAAUUCAGUGAAUCAUCGAAUCUUUGAACGCACAUUGCGCCCCUUGGUAUCCCGAGGGGCAUGCCUGUUCGAGCGUCAUUUCACCACUCAAGCCUGGCUUGGUGUUGGGCGACGUCCUCUUUGGGGACGCGCCUCGAAACGCUCGGCGGCGUGGCACCGGCUUUAAGCGUAGCAGAAUCUUUCGCUUUGGAAGUCGGGGCCCCGUCUGCCGGAAGACCUGCUCGCAAGGUUGACCUCGGAUCAGGCAGGGAUACCCGCUGAACUUAAGCAUAUCAAUAAGCGGAGGA